ACUUCUUCAAAGUAGGCAUUCCUUGACGAGAUUUUGCAAUGGAGCAGACAAUGUUUAAGAAGGAACUGCAGAUGCUGGAAAAUUGAAGGUACACAAAAA